rnacentral:lncRNA from 1 species
CUAUACAUUAUUUUAAGUUAUCUAAUUAUGGCUCACCUUUAUUUAUUCAAAGAAGCUUGGUUAACGAAAAGAAAACCUAAAGAACUCUAAGGCAUUUUAUCAAAGUUCAAAAUUAAACAAACACCCAUUUCCCUUUAACAACUUGAGCCCAAUAGCCUACUGUAUUUUCAAAAGAUAGAUUGCCAUGAACUUUAACAAAAUGAUUUAAGUCAAAUGUCAAACGAAUGCCCAAUUCAAAAAACGUAGUGCAUAAUAUCAGAAUUGUUUGCAGUGCUGAUCUAGGCCUACUUCCCGUCUCGAAUUUGGGUUCAAAUGGAGCCCAAACCAUGUUGCAAAUGCUGCCAACUCUUUGAUUUCUGAAUUAAUUGUACUGGGCCCAAAAGAAGGCCCAAUUCUAUAGUAGUAUUCAAUGGCUAAAAUGGGCUCAAUAUCGAAUCCCUAUAGCAACAUAAUCAUCAUACAAGCACAGAACUAGAUGACUCCAAAUUGAUUUCAAACAAUGAAGUGGUCCAGAUUCGACUCAAAUGACCAUGAUGCCCUUUUAAUGAUUAGCCCAAAGCUAAUCAUAUGACAAUCAGUUAAAAUCCAUGAGAUGUAUACAUGAUCACCUACUUAGCCUCCAAAGUUAAUUGUUUCAAAGGAAUGAACAACUAAACAAUUGGAGAAAGAAAAACAGAACUAAACAUUUAUCAUGUACUCAUGCUGGCUUCUGUCUUUCGAAAAUGAUUUCAAAGGAACAAUUUCAUACUCAAGCUUUGUGACUGACCAACAACAAUUCUGUGAACUAAUUUAAUAAACAUUGAAAAUCUAAAUUUAUCUCACACUGAAGGCAUUUACAAGCAUCUCAUAAACGUAUCAGUGUUAACUUAUCAGCACUCUCAGCAUUUGACAACCUUACGUGGAAAUCAUAAAGAUACAGAGCUAAUCUUCAUCAUGACUCGAAUCAAAAUUACAAAAAUAAAACAGAUAACUGAUGCCUUGUAUAGUUUAUAGCUCAACAGAAUCAUAUGGAUUCAGUUGAUCCACGUUUGGCUUGAAUAUUCUUAAAUCAAAUACCCAUUACUUUCAGCAAAGUUUAAGCAUAAACAUGCCUUUCGUGGCUCAAAUAAACUUUCACUACAACAAAUGAUAAACAGUCCUUAAACCACAUAAAAACUAACUAAGAAAUGAAAUGAACUACAACAUAGUGUCAAAUAAACAAAAUGCAGCACUAAUUGAAACCAUGUUCUGUUUCCCACUUUUUCAUUUCAUGAAUCAACUUUGACUUCACAUGUUUAAUAGAGUUCAAGAUAUAGUACCUGGAGAUUAAAGGAAAAGAGAGUGAAGAAACAGUAGCAACAACAGAACAAGAGCUUUAGCAAAUCAACUCAGACUAGAAAUUUGAAAUGAAACAAUAACAAAAAAGCAGUCUCAAUCUACCUGGGACUGCAACAACUUUACACCAAGCUUUUAAAAUCCAUAUUCAAACCAUUUCCGCAUCAACUAAAUCAAAGUUAUCUCAGAAAAACUAAACAAAUCAAAGUCUAUUAAAGAAAUGCAAUGGAACAGUGUAAGAAUUCAGCCGUUUCUAU